rnacentral:tRNA from 1 species
GGGGGUGUGGCGGAAUGGUAGACGCUGCGGACUUAAAAUCCGUUGGCCGUUAUAGGCCGUGAGAGUUCAAGUCUCUCCACCCCCAUCA